UUUCCGUAGGUGAACCUGCGGAAGGAUCAUUACAGAGUUCAUGCCCUCUCGGGUAGAUCUCCCACCCUUGAAUAUUUAUACCUUAGUUGCUUUGGCAGGCCGUGGAAACACCAUGGGCUCCGGCUUAUGCGUGCCUGCCAGAGGAAACAAACUCUGUUUUUAGUGAUGUCUGAGUACUAUAUAAUAGUUAAAACUUUCAACAACGGAUCUCUUGGUUCUG
rnacentral:misc_RNA from 1 species